AAACGUGCUCACCUCAUAAAAUUAUUGUAACUACCUCUCAACCUACCCACCUCAAAAGGACAGUGAAAAUUGAUUACAGGGAGCUCAAGUUUAUCUCUCCUUUCCUCACCAAGAGCUCCUUCCUCCCCACUACUAUUAAUGAACGCGACUCCUCAUUCUUCAUUCAUCACCAGCACGAACUCUUCUCCAACUUUUUUACUUUUGAUCACUUUAGUUGAUUUUGAUCACUUUAGUUGAUUUACAUCGCAACUUUAGUUGAUUUACAUCGCAAAUUUUUUUUUUGUCUAGCCAACUGAUUAUAACUAAUGUACUUGGAUCUGCUUUUAGUAAGUCCGCAAAGUUUUUGUUUUCCCAUUUACUUGAGAAUGAAUAGUCAAAAUUAUCAUAGACGAUUUAACCUUGUUUUGUUGAUUUUUCUUAUAAAUCCGUUUUUCAUAAACGAUUUUGUUUUUUUUUAUAGCAUAAUUAUGGGCACUCGUUCGGCUUGUGCUUCUUACGAUCAAGCUCCCAUCAUAAUUCUUUGGGACAUUGGAACUGUGAGUUUCAGAACGAUAUAAAAGAUCAUGGAUACAGUAAAGAGAUUUAACUCAAAUGAGGCUAGUAUAUCUAUGGCCUUUAUAUCGUAUUCGAAAUUGACAAUUCUCGAUGUCCCAAAAAAUAUGAUGGGAUUCUAAAAAUAGGCGCAGCAUUUGAACAAAUCAAGAAGAGUCUCCAUGUGUUCCCAAUCGGUGGACGAGAGUAAGUACCAAGUUUUUGGUUUCAACUGAAUCUGAUUUCACAUUUCCAGCUCCAUCUUCUUCUUCUGCAGAUAAUCCAAAUCAGCUGCAAGUCAUUGUUCAAGAUCUAUCAACCACAGAGGAACAGAGAACUUUGACAGUAAGAAGGAAGGAGGCUUUGAAGAUUACUUUUUGAUGAUGAAACGCCUUUUUGAUCUCUUCAGCAGAUAUUUUUGGAGUGCUGCUAAUCUCUUUAAUACAUGGUUGUCCCAAAGGGAAAACUGUUUUAGUUUUUACAAUUAGUCGAGAGACUCGAGACUCCGGUUAUAGUUUUUUCUUUUCAUGACUAGAUGCUGAAAUAACGGUGUAGGGUCGUCAAGAGAUGUCUGGUUCUAUGUGUUCCAUGUGUUCCAUGUUUGUUUCUUCAGCUAAUACAAUUGCUUUCUUUUCGGUGCAAA